CUGUCCUUCUGCCCAUUUGGAAAACUUCAGACGUUCACUCUCUAACCCUUCUCUGUUGAUCCAGGCUGUUUGAUCAGCUUCACCAAUCAGCAGAGUCAGCUUGUUGUUCUCCUCUUCACUCUGGGGAAGGACCAGCUCGGCUCCUUGUUGGGAGCAGAACUCAGAGGCCUUCUGAAAGGAACCUCUCUCCUUGUUGGACACCAAGUAUUUAUGACCAACCUUCCUCACAAAGUGAAAGGGAGGAACUGCCCGCAGCAGCCCAGGUCCCACCAGCACCAGUCAGUGGCCACGCCCAUCACAGGAGCAGAUAGCCUUCAAUGGAUGGACAUCAAUAAGCCUGCCCAGAGGGCAGAAGGUAGAAGGGGGGCCAGCCAAAGUAUGUCAGGGCACCAGCCUCCAGUCAAAGGAAGCGCAUUUGGGGACGCCAACACACUGUCACCCCCACCAAUACAGGCAAGCCCAGAAUGAGACAACCCAAAGGCCCACCUGAACCUCUGUGAGGGACAGCCAGCAUGAGGCGACCAAGCCUACCCAGCCACACACCCCAACUGGACUCCCAAUCCACAGGGAUGGUGAGGAUGGUAGUUUGAGAGGACACCCUUGGCCGCAAAACUUGAGGGGCCAAGCAGUGGAGGGCCCACCCCAUUCCCAGAACAGCUCCCACAACAGUAGGCAGCCCCAGAUGCCCAAGAUCCCAGGCCACCAGCUACCAUACCCCAACCCUGUGGUUACCCAGCCCCACCCAUCCAAUACUGAAACGACCACAAGGCCCCCACAGGCUCAUUUUGUAACUCAUCCAUUUAAGUGAAUUUAUGAAUAAUUAGGAACAUGUCCUUUUCAUUGACUGGUAAAAGAUGAGAUGCAUGAUGUGGCCAUGAUGGUGGGAAACGCCCAGUCGUCUUCAGUUCAGUUCUGCAGAAACCUAAAGGUCGUCCAACUGGUCCUGGUAUUCCUGGUAUUCCUGGAGGUCCAGCUAACCCUCGUGGUCCUGGAGGUCCAGCUGGUCCUUGCUGUACUAAAGAAGAAUCCACAUGGACCUGACUGUAGACGGUGGAAGCCAU